rnacentral:ncRNA from 1 species
AUUUUUUAUGAUUUAAAAAGUUUAAUUUGAAUUUAUUUUACAUAUAAAUUUUAGUAUAUAUUUUUAAUUUAUUUUAAGAAUUUUUAAAAAUUAAUUUAAUAGUAAUUAAUAUUAAAAAUUUAAGAAAUUAAGAUUUAGUAAUAUUUAAUGAUUAUUAACAAAUUUUGUGCCAGCAGUUGCGGUUAAACAAAAAAUAAUUUAAAUUUUAUUAGUAAAUAAUAAAUAUUGAUAUUUUAAAAUUAAAUAUUAAAUUAUUAGGUGAAAUUUUAAUUUAAUUAAAAUUUUAAUUAAUAAUUAUGAUUUAUAAAAUUUUAUUAAAAACUAGAAUUAGAUACUCUAUUAUUAAAAUUUAAAUAAAAAUACUAAAAUAGUAUAUAAUUAUUUAUUGAAACUUAAAUAAUUUGGCGGUAUUUUAGUUCAUUUAGAGGAAUCUGUUUAAUAAUUGAUAGUCCACGAAUAAAUUUACUUAAUUAAUAUAUUUUGUAUAUCGUUGUUAAAAAAAUAUUUUUUAAUAAAAAUAAUAUUUUAAAAUUUUUAAAAUAAAUUAAUUCAGAUCAAGAUGCAGAUUAUAAUUAAGAAUAUAAUGGAUUACAAUAAGAAAUGAUUAUAUGAAUAAUAUUUUUUAAUAAUUAUUUGAAGGUGGAUUUAAAUGUAAUUUUAUUUAGUUUAUUAAAAUGAUUAAAAAUUGAAAUAUGUACAUAUUGCCCGUCGCUUUCAUUAAUAAGUUGGAAUAAGUCGUAACAUAGUAGAAGUACUGGAAAGUGUUUCUAGAA